UACGUAGGGUGCGAGCGUUGCCCGGAUUUAUUGGGCGUAAAGGGCGCGUAGGCGGCCACGCACGUCCGUUGUGAAAUCGCCCGGCUCAACUGGGCGGGGUCAGCGGAUACGGUGUGGCUCGAGCAAGCUAGGGGGCAAUGGAAUUCCCGGUGUAGUGGUGGAAUGCGUAGAUAUCGGGGAGGAACACCAGUGGCGAAAGGCG
rnacentral:rRNA from 1 species